GUCGUAUCAAAAAAAAAAUAAUAAUAAACGGUCAAAAAGACCUCGAAAAGAACAAAACAAAACAAGACCGUUGGAUGUAAUGAAGAUUCUAGAUCCUUAAUUACUACCAAAAAAAAAAUUUGAAAUGAACGGUGAGAUAUUGAGAUUGGAAUUGGACGGUGAAAUUAGGGGAAGAAGUUUUAACCUAAUACCUAAACCUAACAACAGCAGUAGCACGCCUCAUUUGAUCAUUUCAUCAUAAUCUAAACGGCUCUCUCUCUCUCUCCUAACUUCCUCUUCAACCUCUCCAGCUCUCUCUCUCCUAACGCCUCUGAAUCUCCUAACUUUCUCACGCCUCUCAAUCUCCCUCUUCAUCAUCCCUCUGCAUCUAAAUCUCCUUAUUGGCGAACGGCGAUCCUACCAUUUUUUUUUUAAUUUUAUAAGUUCGGUAUUUUCAUUUUUUCUUAAAAUUUCAGAUUUUUUUUUGGAAGUUCCAAGUCUUUUGGUCAUUUAUUUCGAAUGAUUCGUUUGCAAAUUGCAAUGUAUAAUUGAUUAAUUUUUGCUUUUUUUGGAAUUUCUAAUUUUUUUUUCUUUUUUUUUUUUUGUAGAUCUGUCAUAUAUAUUCAACACACAGUAUAAGGUAUUUUUUCUGUUUUCUUUUGCAAUUCAUGUAAUUGAUUAAUUUGUGCUUUUUUAUUUGAAGUUUUAAUUUUAUUUUUUUUUUAAUAUUUUUUUUUUUGUGUAGAUCUGUUAUAUUCUCUCACGGUAUAAGGUAGUUUUUCUUUUUUCUUUUGCAAUGUAUAAUUAAUUAAUUUGUGCUUUUUUUUUUUGAAGUUUUAAUUUUUUUUUUCUUUUUUUUUUGUAGAUCUGUCAUAUUUUUACUCACGGUAUAAUCGUAUAAGGUAUUUUUUCUUUUUUCUUUUGUAAUGUAUAAUUGAUUAAUUUGUGCUUUUUUUUUUUGAAGUUUUAUUUAUUUUUUUCUUUUUUUUUGUAGAUCUGUCAUACUAUACUCACGGUAUAACCGUAUAAGAUCUGUCAUAUUCUACUCACGGUAUAAGUCAUGUCUCACGAGUAUGAUGAAUUUGACUAUGAGAGGCAAUCAAAUUUUGAUAUUGUUAGCUCUCAAGCUACCUCUGGCCCGGUUGAUGAUGCUAGUAAUACCGGCAUUAUCACUACUUAUGUUAAUAAACGUCAAAGAACCGCAGGUAUAUGGAAGCAUUACACUUUUUUUUAAAGACGAUAGGUAAUGAAAAGGUAGAUUAUGCUCGUUGUAAUUUGUGUGGCAAAGAAUAAAAAGCACCUGGUAAAGCGGGUACUUCAACUUGUAGAGCUCAUAUUAAUGCAUGUUUGGAAAAGCAUGGUCUCCAACCCGGUAAAGAAUCACAAUUUGAUCAAAAAACUUAUUUACAAAAGUUUGCUAAAGCUAUAAUCUGCCAUGCAUAUCCUUUAAAUAUUGUAGAGCAUGAAUAUCUUAGGGAACUUCAUGCAUAUUUGAAUCCUAAGGUGCAGCAUGUUUGUAGAAAAACUAUGUUAAAGUAUGUUAUUGCUGAGCAUGAUAAAUAUAAAUCCUUGUUGCAUGAGUCUUUGGCUAAUGUUUCUGGUAGAGUUAGCUUUACAUGUGACUUGUGGGCUGCAUGUACUAACCGAGGCUAUCUCACUUUGACUGCUCAUUAUGUUGAUAACAGUUGGUCUCUUAGGUCUAAAAUUUUAAAUUUUAGAUAUUGUGGCCCUCCCCAUACUGGUGUUGAGGUUGGAAAGUUUGUGUUUAAACUGA